rnacentral:rRNA from 1 species
AACGAACGCUGGCGGCAUGCCUAACACAUGCAAGUCGAACGAGACCUUCGGGUCUAGUGGCGCACGGGUGCGUAACGCGUGGGAACCUGCCCUUAUGUUCGGAAUAACUCCCCGAAAGGGGUGCUAAUACCGGAUAAUGUCUUCGGACCAAAGAUUUAUCGCCUUUGGAUGGGCCCGCGUUGGAUUAGCUAGUUGGUAGGGUAAAAGCCUACCAAGGCGACGAUCCAUAGCUGGUCUGAGAGGAUGAUCAGCCACACUGGGACUGAGACACGGCCCAGACUCCUACGGGAGGCAGCAGUGGGGAAUAGUGGACAAUGGGCGAAAGCCUGAUCCAGCAAUGCCGCGUGAGUGAUGAAGGCCUUAGGGUUGUAAAGCUCUUUUACCCGGGAUGAUAAUGACAGUACCGGGAGAAUAAGCUCCGGCUAACUCCGUG